AUCUGAGUAAAUAUAUUAGAAAUAUACAAAAUCCUUUACUACAUUCAAUGUAGUCACCGUACCACCAUGAAUGGUACCAUAGAGUAUUCCUGUUCUUUGUUUAUAUGAAAUCCAAGAGGGUCACCUCACACUACAAUUAUUAAAGAUGGCGCAAGAGUGGUGUACAGUUUAGCAGCUGCAUUUCGACGUUUAUAAAUUUCCACAUCCUUUCUUCAUAAAUGAUGGAGCAUGGAUUAUUCUUCAAUAUUAUAACAAACUAAAUAUUUCUUUAAUAUAUCUUAGCCUUUAUUGAAUAUAGUACAUCGUACUUAAACACCAACACAUACGCACAUUCACACAAACAUGCACAUAUACAAACACGUACGAGUACACUUAUUUACACAAUACACCCACACAAAGACAACAUGAAACACACGUAGAACUCACAACGGUUUAGCUUGAAUUAUAUACAUAAUAAAUAAUUAAAACUGUAAGUUAAUCAUAAUAAAUAUAGAUUCCACAAUC
rnacentral:lncRNA from 1 species